rnacentral:tRNA from 1 species
UCUUAGAUGACUGAGUUAAUAGGUGUUAGAUUUUUAAUCUAAAAACGGCAGUAGUGCCUCUAAGAG